CGCCUUUGGUUAAAUAUCAAAAGGUCCUGCCUGCCCGGUGAUUUAAAAAUUUAACGGCUGCGGUACUCUGACCGUGCAAAGGUAGCAUAAUCAUUAGCCUGUUAAUUUCAGGCUGGAAUCAACGGCAAGACGAAGAAAAGGCUGUCUCUUUCUAUUAUUUUAGAAUUUUUCUUUUUGGUGAAGAGACCAUAAUAAAUAAGUGGGACGAGAAGACCCUAUUGAGUUUUAGUUAGUUAACAAAAAAUUUUUUUAUUAACAAACUUUGGUUGGGGCAACUAUUUAUAAAAUUAAAUAUUUAUAAAAUAAAAAUUGAAUUAAAUCUUAAAUAAAAAAAACCCAGAAAUUUAUUCUGUACUUAAAAAAAAUUACCUUAGGGAUAACAGCGUAAUUCUUUUUGAGAGUACAUAUUGACAAAAGAGUUUGCGACCUCGAUGUUGGAUCAAGAUUUCCUAAAGGUGCAGUAGCUUUUAAGGGUUGGUUUGUUCAACCAUAAAAAUCUU
rnacentral:rRNA from 1 species